CUUCAUUUUCCAGCAGGAUUUGGCACCUGCCCACACUGCCAAAAGCACCAAAGCCUGGUUCAAUGACCGUGGGAUUACUGUGCUUGAUUGGCCAGCAAACUCGCCUGACCUGAACCCCAUAGAGAAUCUAUGGGGCAUUGCCAAGAGAAAGAUGAGAGACAUGAGACCGAACAAUGCAGAAGAGCCGAAGGCCGCUAUUGAAGCAUCC